GACACGUUUACAUAGUGAGUCUUCUAGUGCCUUUUCGUCACACCUGUGCACGUGUAUAAUCGAAAGUAUAAGUGCCUUGAGUUCUGAGUUGAGUUUGGAGGAAUCAAACUCCUUUCCUUUCACAAAGUUGAUGUUUCCAAGAUGGAGUAUUGCAGCUACAACACGGAAUAUAGCUUCCUACAGAAAUGAUGAGCAUCUGCCACAGCAAAAAGAUGCGGACUUAGCUCUCCAAAUGGGGCUCCCUUGUACUGCUGCAUCAUAUGGAUAUCAUACAGAUGUGGAAGUCUCCGAAAUGGAUUCACCGCAAUUAGGAUAUUCCCUGUGUUAACUUUUUCGCCACCUGGGGUUUCUAUCAAAUUCAACACCAGGAUGCAGGCAGAGUUACACAAAUUCAUGACAAUGUUACAUGACAUUGUAUUUGUAUUUCCUCAAGACUGGCCGCACUCUGAUUUUCUUCUCCCAUUUUGAUCUACUAUUGAUUUCAAGAUUUUCCUGAAGUUUCAGCUUUACGUCACUGGCAUCCAAAAAUUUUGCAGUGAUUUUAGCUUUUAAGAAUAGGAAAAGGAGUUGAAAUGGGGAAUUCUUGAAAUGCCAGUCAUGAGUCAUACUGAGGCAAAAAGGACCACCAUGGGGAUUGUAGUUGUAGAAAAGAGAUGUACAGAAGUUAGAAAAAUAGCUAGCUGCCAGUGGAUCACCUGGAAACUAACUGGAUUUAACUUACAUAAUUUGACAUUGUAAAAUUUUUAACAUGUUGUAACACUUGUCUUGCUUUAGGCUACUAAUUUCACUUUUUAUGAGUAAUUACUCGUAGUUAUCUUUUACGUGACCCGACCAGAACGUAAAGGAAAACUCAAAUGGGUGAGGGGUCCCUUACA